rnacentral:misc_RNA from 1 species
GAUGAAGAACGUAGUGAAAUGCGAUAAUUAAUGUGAAUUGCAGAAUUCCGUGAAUCAUCGAGUCUUUGAACGCACAUUGCGCCUCAUGGCAUUCCGUGAGGCAUGCCCAUCUCAGCGUUAGAAAAUAUUCUCAAAUUUUAGUUUUGUGCUAAAAUUUGGAUCAUGUCAAGGAAGCUAUUACUAUUAUUGUGAUCGCUCUUUGGAAAUUGAUAGGUCUUUGAGUUGCUACUCAUAGAACGUGAUGAAUCUUUCUUCGUUCUAUUGUAAUUCACUCUGGUAGUCCUAAAACUUGUAUGCCUGUGGCAUAUCUUGUAAUUUGACCUGAGAUUGGGUAGGGAUACCCGCUGAACUUAAGCAUAUCAAUAAGCGAGGA